UCCGGGAGGGCGGAUCCAUAAUUCAUCUCCUUUAGAGCGCCUUGGGUUUCACCCUAGAGCAGUAGUGGAAAGUGCGUGGGUGUUGUUUACCGGAAUGGGGAAGCCUGCCUGUGAGGCCUGUGCUGGGGGAAACAUUCUGUCCUCGGAGUCGUCAUGGCAACAUCAGUGCUCAUCCUGGUUAGGCCCUCCCUGGGCCACAGCUGGCUCAACCCCAUGAAGGGAGCCCUUGGGUCACUUCAGCUUCACAGAGGAAGACAUUGAGCCACAGAGAUGGAAUGCCACCUGCCCUAAGUCACCAGCACACCUGCACUGGGCCAGAAGUGGGGCCCAGGGUGGGAUGGUCAAAGCCCACCAAGUCAUCUUGGAGAGGAGGCUGCAAGGAUGCCAGCUGGGAGAUGAAUGCAACUCUGCUGCCUGGGCAUGGGCCUGAGUGAGGGUGCAGACCCCUGCCUGUGAUCAUCAGGGAGGAUCCAGAAAGCCCAGGACAUAACAGAGCCGCAGUGCCUGCCCUGAUCCACACGCACACAGACCUAGCCCAGGAACAAGCCCGUCCACGGUGAGGAACAUGCGGCCCAGUGGCUGGAGCCUCUCACCUGAGCCCUUACUGCCUGAGGACCCCCCAACCUCUGGCCUCAUUUCCCACCCUUUGCCAGCCAGCCUUGGGGACAGAACAGGCCUGGAUCUAAUCCAAGGUCUGGACUCACCCUGACACCCUGUGAACUCAAGGCCUUCCCUACCUCACCCUGGGCCCAGAGCCCCUACCUGUAAAGUGGAAGUGGGAAUGGUCACCAG